rnacentral:rRNA from 1 species
GAUGAACGCUGGCGGCGUGCCUAAUACAUGCAAGUCGAACGCAUUGUGGUUGAAAUGAUAUGAAGAACUUGUUCAGAUUUGAUUUUCAACAUUGCAAUGAGUGGCGAACGGGUGAGUAACACGUGGGAAACCUACCUCUUAGCAGGGGAUAACAUUUGGAAACAAAUGCUAAUACCGUAUAAUAAUUAAAACCGCAUGGUUUUAGUUUAAAAGAUGGUCUUGCUAUCACUAAGAGAUGGUCCCGCGGUGUAUUAGUUAGUUGGUGAGGUAAUGGCUCACCAAGACAAUGAUACAUAGCCGAGUUGAGAGACUGACCGGCCACAAUGGGACUGAGACACGGCCCAUACUCCUACGGGAGGCAGCAGUAGGGAAUCUUCCACAAUGGACGAAAGUCUGAUGGAGCAACGCCGCGUGUGUGAUGAAGGGUUUCGGCUCGUAAAACACUGUUGUAAGAGAAGAAUGACAUUGAGAGUAACUGUUCAAUGUGUGACGGUAUU